UUGACCUCAGAUCAGGGCAGAUUACCC
rnacentral:rRNA from 3 species